rnacentral:rRNA from 1 species
CAGUCGCCACGGGAACACGUAGGGUGCAAGCGUUAUCCGGAAUUAUUGGGCGUAAAGAGCUCGUAGGCGGUUUGUCGCGUCUGCUGUGAAAACUGGAGGCUCAACCUCCAGCCUGCAGUGGGUACGGGCAGACUAGAGUGCGGUAGGGGAGAUUGGAAUUCCUGGUGUAGCGGUGGAAUGCGCAGAUAUCAGGAGGAACACCGAUGGCGAAGGCAGAUCUCUGGGCCGUAACUGACGCUGAGGAGCGAAAGCAUGGGGAGCGAACAGGAUUAGAUACCCCCGUAGUCCCUGUCUCUUAUAC